GACGAACGCUGGCGGCGUGCUUAACACAUGCAAGUCGAACGGAAAGGCCUCUUUCGGGGGGUACUCGAGUGGCGAACGGGUGAGUAACACGUGAGUAACCUGCCCUUGACUUUGGGAUAACUUCAGGAAACAGGGGCUAAUACCGGAUAGGAGCUCCUGCUGCAUGGUGGGGGUUGGAAAGUUUCGGCGGUUGGGGAUGGACUCGCGGCUUAUCAGCUUGUUGGUGGGGUAGUGGCUUACCAAGGCUUUGACGGGUAGCCGGCCUGGGAGGGUGACCGGCCACAUUGGGACUGAGAUACGGCCCAGACUCCUACGGGAGGCAGCAGUGGGGAAUAUUGCACAAUGGGUGGGAGCCUGAUGCAGCAACGCCGUGUGCGGGAUGACGGCCUUCGGGUUGGAAACCGCUUUCGCUCAUGACGGAGCUUUGUGUGACGGUAGUGGGUAAAGAAGCACCGGCUAACUACGUG
rnacentral:rRNA from 1 species